rnacentral:rRNA from 1 species
UGGGGAAUAUUGCACAAUGGGCGCAAGCCUGAUGCAGCCAUGCCGCGUGUAUGAAGAAGGCCUUCGGGUUGUAAAGUACUUUCAGUCGGGAGGAAGGUGGUAAGGUUAAUAACCUUAUCAAUUGACGUUACCGACAGAAGAAGCACCGGCUAACUCCGUGCCAGCAGCCGCGGUAAUACGGAGGGUGCAAGCGUUAAUCGGAAUUACUGGGCGUAAAGCGCACGCAGGCGGUCUGUCAAGUCGGAUGUGAAAUCCCCGGGCUCAACCUGGGAACUGCAUUCGAAACUGGCAGGCUAGAGUCUUGUAGAGGGGGGUAGAAUUCCAGGUGUAGCGGUGAAAUGCGUAGAGAUCUGGAGGAAUACCGGUGGCGAAGGCGGCCCCCUGGACGAAGACUGACGCUCAAGUGCGAAAGCGUGGGGAGCAAACAGG